GAAUCUCUUCAAAAUUUCCAAUUAAUUAUGUUUGAAGAUCUUCAAGAAUCUUCAAAACAAGCAUAUGAUUUCUUGCUAAAGAAGGCGAUGAACUAAACAGCAGUUACAGAAACACUGCCAUGGUGAAGGGGGAGGCUUCCCAGCUUCAGCACUGUCCACAUCCGGGGCUGCUGGCCUGUACUUGCAGGAUGUAUAGCAGCACCCCUGGCCUCUACCCACCAGAUGCCAGCCCACGCACUCUCGGCGGUGACCACCAAAAAAUGUCUCCAGAGGUUGCCAACUGUGCCCUCUAUAGCAAACAGGGCUAUAGAGGAUUUAGUCAAAACAAUUUAGUUGACAAUGAUUAAGAACUUCUCUAUACCUGAAUUCUGAAGCAGUUAAGAGCAAAAACAGGAUCAGAGGAAAGAUCACACAGAGACAAAUACACUCACAUCCACAGAUUUUGGUUGAGUUCACCCAGAGAGAGGCCCCAGCAAGACAGUGGAGGACGGGAAAGGAAACACCAUGGCAUUUGUUCCUCCAGCUACGUCUCGCUGGCUUGUAUUCCUCCACACACGGCCCGUUGGGCAGCCUUCCUCUGUGCCAGGGAGACAGCUCUCUGGGUUCUCCUGCACUGUUCAGAAAGGAACUCCAAGACUGCAAAGUGGAGGCAGCUUUCUCUGAGUGGCCUGUUAAAGUGAAUGCAGAUUAGACCUACUGAUGUGGCUCAUGUCUCUGCUCUUCCUGUCAUUUUUAUGAUGG